AGCGAACGCUGGCGGCAGGCCUAACACAUGCAAGUCGAACGGCAGCACAGUAAUAGCUUGCCCUUACGGGUGGCGAGUGGCGGACGGGUGAGGUAUACAGCGGUAUCUACUUUUUCGUGGGGGAUAACGUAGGGAAACUUACGCUAAUACCGCAUACGACCUACGGGUGAAAGCAGGGGAUCUUCGGAUCUUGCGCGAUUGAAUGAGUCGAUGGCGGAUUAGCGAGUUGGCGGGGUAAAGGCCCACCAAGGCGACGAGCCGUAGCUGGUCUGAGAGGAGGAUCCGCCAAACUGGAGCUGAGACACGGGUCAGGCUCCUAGGGGAGGCAGCAGUGGGGAAUAUUGGACAAUGGGCGCAAGCCUGAUCCAGGCAUAGCGCGUGGGUGAAGAAGGCCUUCGGGUUGUAAAGCCCUUUUGUUGGGAAAGAAAAGCAGCAGGUUGAUACCCCGCUGUUCUGACGGUACCCAAAGAAUAAGCACCGGCCAACUUCGUG
rnacentral:rRNA from 1 species